AUGAGAAGUUUUGGACCCGUGUCUGCCGGUAGUUCCCCCGACUCUUUGUACGGCUGACUAUUGGCGCCGUGUUCCCUCGUUCUUGUUGCUGCCAUUACUGUUGCCUUUAAAGUGCUUGCGUGCAGGUACCUAAACUACGGGAAGUAGUGUCUCUUACAUGGUUGCCUCGUGGUGGACGCCUUCGGGUAUGCCGCUGCGGCCAAAUGGCGUUUGUGUCGUUGCCUCGUGGUGCUGGCUGUUUACAUGACCAGUGCUGUCAAGGCAACCUCGCUCCUGCUGUUGGUCUCGGAUGUUGCUCACGUUAAAGUCUCAUGGCCCUUUUGGUUGCCUUGACCCGACCCUAAGAAGCUCUCCGAAUUGAGAACACCCGGAACAGGUGUUGCCUCUACCUCUCCACAGUUAGUGGUAGGAUACGCAACAUUUUGCGCCGAUCCUCAAACAAGUAGGACGAGCUUAGCCCGCUCAAUUGCGACAACCGGCCCGGCAGUUGCGUUGCUCUGCCAUGAAAGUGGAUAGGUGGACAACUGUUGAUGCUGGAUGUCAAAGAGGACGUGCU
rnacentral:misc_RNA from 1 species